ensembl:lncRNA
AGAAUCAACAAAUCAAAUCUUAAAUUAAAAUCAAGAACAAUUUAAUAAUUAACAGAAGCAGGUAAGACAUUACAAAACGAAUGAGGCUAUUUGUAGUGGUAGAGACCCCUCCUCCUGACAAACAAGUCAACAUUUCUGGAAGGAUUUUCAAAACGGUGCCUUUUUGUGUCUGGAAGUGGUGUCGGCUUUACAUCCCUCAGCAAUGUGCUGGCUGUGAUGUCGACAGUAGCUCCAACCAGCUCGGCCAUCCCCUUGUCCACUUUCCAUUCCAAAAGCCUCACCCAGCCUGUUGGUUACCGCUCGCCUCUGUUCCCCCGCGAGCACCAUCAUCAGCGUCAAUCUGGAAGCUCUCAUUGACCGAACUCAUCUUCAAUAACACAACACAUUCAAUGAUUAUACCUUUACCUCAAGCUUCUUGGAGUAGACAUAAUAUGGGAUUUAAUAUAUCCCAUUUAUCAUCUAGUACUUAGCACAUACCUAUCAUAUUAUGUCAUAACAUAUUACUAAUGUCACACUUGAUACUUCUACUAUCCCAAUUAUGUCUUCAUAAACAUGAUAUCCAACUCAUUUCAUAGCCCAGAAUAACAAACCUAAACACAGACCCUGCAAUCUUUACACAUGCGACAUCUGCUGACCCAAAAUUUUCACACGACACAGGAAAACCUCCGAAAAAGGUCAAUAGGAAAAAAGGGUGGAUAGAAUGGAUGUCAUGUGUACAGAGUUGGAUGACGUAUGCUUAAUUAAUAUUACAGAAAUGAUUGAAUUUUACACAUAACUUCAACAUACCAUUAUUCAUACCACUAGGCAAGGUUUUCUGGUUCAAACCCUAACAAUACUCUGUUUUAAUAUUGUAGCUGGGCGCUGACAUUAUUGGCAAGCCUGGUACCUUGAUUUCAAAGGCUGUAGUGGUGAUCGCAUUGCGGACGUUAAAGUUCAUGGGAUCAAUUCUUAAGUCGUCUACAUGCAAGUUGGUAUAUGGAACAUCAAAGGCUGGAACCAAGAUUGCAUGGGGAAGAGUCAUUUUAUGGAUUGCAUUUUCUUCUAUCCACGAUGAUACUGCAAAGCUAAUCUUGGGGAUGUUUCAUGUAAUUUCGUUUUCAUUGGUAUGUAAACUCCUUGUCAUGCAUGGUCAUGGUCUACACAAUACUGGAAGAGAGGGUAAGGAAUUGUAACUCGUCCAUAUUUGUGACCUAACUUGAGAAUUCCCAGAAGGUCUUCUAAUAUACAGGAAUGCUAACCACAUUCAUGAAAGCCAGAAGGCCUUCCACAGAUCCUGUUAGGUACUUUAGAUUCAUCAUUAGACACAAGAAAAUGAGAAGUAUGGAUGAGUGUUCCUUCCCACUCCAAGUCAUACACUGCUUGUCUGAGCUGAUGAAUAAGUCCAGCAUGACUAUUUGGUCUAUUUGGCUAACUUGCCUCUAUGUUCAGUGUAGCCUUGACGUUUGUUAAAGAAACAACAUUUUCUAAAGUACAUUUUUCUUUUCUAAAUUUGACACUGCACUUUCCAUUGGUGUUGAAAUAUUCCGAUUCUUCUGUAAUCAAUGGUUGCCAAAGUUCUACUCAAGAGGACAUGUUGUUGGUAUGUCGUACUGAAACAUGUGAUUGAUUAAGUUUCUCCUGUUGUUCAAUGUUUGAAUCAGAGUCCUGAAAGUUGAAUAUAGGCUAUUAAGAUAAAAACUGGCGAGUAAUUUUUGCAAUGUUGGUUACAGAUGCUUCCAUGCUCCUUUUGAUCAGACUAGGAGCACACUCACGGUUCGCUUCCACAUUUUCUGCUUUCGGGACACAGCGGAGGCCAGUUUUAGUCCUCUCUUUCUUUACAGACUGAUUGUGCCAUUCAUCUUUCCAUUUAGAAUUUUAAACACAGAUGUUAAAAACGUGGAAUACCGAGCGACAAUGUUGGACUGAUUAUAAAGGCCAGCAUUAGCACCUAAGGUAAUAACAGUAGAUUUGAAGUGGAGGUCACACGUUAUGUUACCAAGGGCUGGGAUCAACAUGUUGUUCUGAAUGAUUAGUAGUGUGAGAAGUGGGAAGCUUUAUUUCCUUUAAUGUUUCUGGAACAUGGACUGGACAGGAAAUUCCAAAGAUGGUAGCACAGAUGGUUGCUUGGUUAUAAGAAUCUUUUAGAAGCGUAACUACUUUGUCUCUAUGUUUGUUAAAUUAAGCCUGGAAGAUGUAGGCGUUAUUAUUAAAUGUAAUGUAAAUUGGUUCAAGGUGUACUCCAAAGCUGUGGGUAUCAAGGUUCUUGAAGUAAUGAAGCUUCAGAUUGAAAUCGAAUGACUGUUGAGGAUCCGUUAGCAAGGUUUCAAAUCCAGCAUCUUCCCACAGUGACACGUCUCUGACCCCAGGGGUUUUAAUCCCAAAAUAAGGUACACUUAUUGCUGGGAUGGAUAAAGGAACAGACAAAAAGUCCAGCUUUGCCUCUCCAUUUGCAAAUGAUUGAAAGAAGAUGCUGAUUUCAUUGUUUUCUGCUGUGAAGUUUUGUUUGUACUUGUACUGGUUGAAUCUGGCCAAAGUAAACGAGCAAGCACGCUGCUUCUCAGAGUUUACUAUGACACCAUAAUCAUGCUGCAGAUCAACUUUACCAGUAAGUUUCAAUGGGAACAACAUUUUUGAGUUUACUCUAUUCUUAACAUUGAGCACAAUUUCAAAUGGAUGAGCAAUAAAUUCCAGCGAGUUGGACAUAACUCCAGUCAAACCUCCAGCCAAUUCAGAAUCAUGAAAAGCUGUCACCUCAAUGUUUAAGUCCCCAAUAUCAAUCUCUCCAUUUAAAACCAUAACAAUCUUCUUGACAGAUGGAAAUUCAUUUUCACAUCUAGCUUUAACAAUAAUAUGACUUAAAAUCACCGAUUCAGCAGUCAGUGUUUGCUUUGAUUUCAUGGCGUUACAGGUUGUUUCUCCUGCCAUAGUUAAUUUGGCAGUGCCAAACUGUAUGCUGUAUUCUACAUUGCUGGUGUGUGUACCUUCGUCAGAGUAGUCUUGAAAGGACCACUUUCCAUUACCAGUAGUUUCACUGGUCAAAGUACUUUGCCCGAUUCCAUGGUAGCUGCUAUAUUCUGUUUCAUUGAUGCUUCACUGAAAGUUUCAAUUGAUGGGACGUCCAAGUUGUGGUUGUAAUUUGUGUCUAUGGUUGCAGAGAUUCCUUUCUUCAAUGUAAGUGCUAUACUGUUGACAAAAUCGGCUGUGUACAUUUGGGUUGUGGCCUUGCUAAUGGUCUUAGCAGAAGCCUCAGCAGAAGAACCAGUGAGUGUUAAGGAUCCGCCAUGAUCAAUUGAGAAGGCAACAUGUGUAACUUUCACAAUUUCUGUUAAUAGAAACUUGUUCAUUAUUGGAGCUUCCAACCUAGCAUUGGCUUCAAAGGUGUAUUUAAAGGGUUCAAUGGGUGAUUUGGAAUGAGAAGUAAUAGCUGCUGUAAACUGAGUUUUUUUUGGUGUGGACGUUGAGUUCUCAAUCUUCCCUAUAGUUUCCAUCGUGAACUGUGGGGAGCUCAAUCGAAAUUCACCAUGGAGCUUGCCAAAAAACGGCAUGCAAAGGUCACUCGGAAUCUCAGGUAAUUUGAUCUCUGGAAUUGGAAGCAUUGUAAUUUCAAAGUCCUUCAGAUUUAAUUGGGGGAUUUUGAUAACAGGGAAAUGUAUUUCUGAAAGGGUUAUUUCUGGGACAGUAAGAUCUUGCAAUUCAGGAAGAUAAAGCACUUUUAGGUCCCCCAAAAUCUCCUCAGGGUCAGGCAUUUGGAUCUCAUAUUUUCUGAUGCCAUCUAUGAGUGCAAUUAUAUGUGCUUUGAUCUCCUCAAAGUCUAUGGUAAAGGCAGGAAUUAUGUAUGAGUUAAGGAUAGUGAACUCAGGGACAAAAAUCUGAGCUGGGAUGCUAAUCUCCUGCAUUUUGUUCAGGUUUACUGUAAAUGAUGAAAUGGUGAGGUCAGUGAGAGGUACAGUGAAAGUUGGAACUACAAUCUCAGCUUUUUUUAGUGCACCCAGAAUUCUAUCUGCAGUUUGCUUUACCUGUGUGAUGAUGUCAUUGGCAUUGGUCACUUCUCUAAUCCUCUCAAUUAGUUGGUUAAACUGUACAGAAACGUAGUUAACCACAUUGCUGUAGGAUUCGCUUGCUCUUUGAAGGUAAAUGUACAUUUCUUUUCUGAUAUCCAUGUCAAUGAUCCGUUUUUGAAUGUCCUCCAAGAUAUCCUGCACCUUCAGCUUGAUGUCAUUGUAAAAUGUAAUGUCAAUUACAUUUUUCAAUUUUUUUAGAGAUUCAGCAACCUUUGAGUUUUUGAGUUCAUUCAAAUAUGUGAAGAUGGAAUUUUGGAUCUCUCUGAGAAAUUCCCUUACAGCCUCAACUUUCUGUGCAAGCUCAUAUAGUCUAAUCUGCUCGUUGAUAUAGUUUGUUGAUUCAGCAAUUUUCUUGUUGGUCUCAUGAACAAAUGCACUGUAGUCAAAUUCCUUCAAUGAGCCAACUAUUGAAGAAAUGUUUGUAUUAAGGUCAUUAAUGAUUUUCCCCAAACUCAAUUGUUCUGAACUGGCUUAUAACAUCUAUGUGCAGAAGCUGCCUCAUUUGAUUAUCAACUAACUCAAAGUUGAUAGAUUUCAGACUAUCAACCAUUGCCUUCAGUGUCUCUUCAAUUUUGAAUUCCUUGAUGAGAAUCAAUAAUUGAUUCAUCAGUUCUUUAACUGUAUCAUUAAGAUUGUAUUUUAAAACUUUAUCCUUAGUAUAAGAAUACAUCGUAUUGAUUUUGUUGGGGAUUUCAUAUUCGUCAAUCCAGUUAACAAUAACAUCAUUUAUAGAUUCCGUCACUUUUGCUAUGUCUGCAGAAGAAAUUGUAUAGGAUAUCUGCUCCACAUAAAAAGCUAAAUCAAUUGAGAGAAGUUGAUCCUUUAUCUCCUGGAAAAAGGCAUUGAUGUCAAAGUUCUCAAUAGCCUCUUUCAUUUCGGACAGUUUGUCUUUUGUUUUCUCCAAGAUUCUAUAUUUAAAAUCAAAAUGACGCAGCCAGGCGGCGCUACUGUCGGUGAGCUUCUGCAAAUCUAUCUGUCUGAUGAUGUCCUUGAUGGUAUCUAGCGCUUUGAUGAGAGACCGCUUAACUUCAUACUUCUCAUCAAAGGCCGAAAGCUGAUUUGCCAUUUUUAAAAGCACAUUUGUUAUCUUUUCGGCAAAGUGGCGGGCCUUGACAUAGUGUUUGAUUGUGAGGAUGAUGUCACUAAUUGUGGAGACAAUGUCCAUUACUAUAUUCUCCAUGCUCUCUCUUAAGUGUUUCAUCACAAAUUCAAAGUCAUCCAUUGUUACAGAAAAGUCAUUGAUUAAAUAAUCAAUUUUUGCAUUUACUUGAUUCACUUUGUUCUCCAAGUCCAUUUCGAGCAUGAAGUUGCUGACUUGCACAGGUAUACGAUCUAACUUGCCCCUAAAGUCAAUGAUUAGCUGAUUAAUAUUUACAUUUUUGAUGAACUGUUGAAUCGAUAUCAAUGCUUUUGCAAGUGUGUUCUUGAGGUGUUCAAAAGCUACAGGGAAACUCUCAAUGAAUGGGAUCUCAAUGAUAUGACAGUCACUGUUCUUGUCAUACUUGAGGAAACCAGCUAUACUAAAUUCUUCUACUUCUAAUCUCUUUUUGCUGCUUAAAUUGCCAAAACUGUCUGUUAAUAUUACUCCUGAAAACUCAAAUGCAACCUUGAAAGGAUUAUGGAAAGCACUAACAUCCUGGUUAUAGGCAUGGUUGUUCAGCUUAGAUUUUAUUUUCCAGGUGAGAGAUUGGUCACUUGGUGUCAGGAGGCCAUCAAAUUUGUUUUCUAAAUUACUGGAAGACUUCCCAUUUGGAAACACAUGUGUGGUUGAUACCUGGCUGUCAUGUGCGAAUGCAAGAGUUAGGGGUUCUGUCUUAACCGACAGAUUACUAUACAGCUGUCCGGUGUGCUUCCCAUAUAGAUUAAUUUGUCCAUCACCGUUGACAAGAGAAUCAACAGUGAGACUGAAAGGCAGUGCCAUGGUGCGAAUAGUGCUUUCAAAACGAAAGGGCUCAGAAUUUAUUAGUGCCGCACACUUUGACUUUGAGGAAAGUCCAGCAAACUCAAGUUCACAGUUGUGACUUAGCUGAGCGUCAAUUACAUUUCCAGUCACGCUGUAUUUCAUUGUACCAGCCAUGUUGUCAUAGUUGAGUUCAUAGGUAUGUUUAAUGUUGUGGUGUUCUCCGUAAGCUACCUUUGUAGUUCCACUGAGAUCAACCGUAAUUGGCUCAAGCUGCAUGUGGCCUUCAUUGUUCCAAUUAAAAUCAUAAAACUUAAGGUCAUUUGUCAUAUCCACUGCUGUAAGAAAUGGCUUCAUAUGAACCUUGCUGUUUUGUUUGUAGUAAAUAUCUUCACAGAUGAAGUUGUUCGUCUUGGAGUGGAAGGUUAGCGUCCACAGAGUGAGGGUCAGUGUAUGGAUAUUUUCUGUAUUAAUCUGCUUCAAUUUUCCCAUGUUAUUGAUAGCAAAGGUCAGGGCUCUGCGGUUGAGUACAAUAUCCAUGUUGUUUCUUGUGGUUGCAUCGUAUACAUGGCCAUUGAGGACACCAUUCAAAGAGGCUUCCGUAGCUGAGAUUGUACCGUCAAUGUUCAGCUCUCCUUUGCUUUCCUUUGCCAUCACUUUUGUCUUGGAGUGUAAGGAUGCUCUAUUGUUGUCUAUGGCACCACUGAACAUAUUCUCCACCAUGACAGGACUGCACUGAAUGCUAUUAGUUCCACUUGCGGUCAGACUGUGCCUUCCAACCAUAACAGAAGCUUUGUGUAAUCCACAAACUGUCUGAAAGGUAAUGGAACCUUCAGAGUUUAGCUCAAGCCCAUUUGAAUCCAAGGAGCCUUCUACAAGGGAGUAGGCCCUGUUUGUGUCAUCAUCUGCCUGUAACUCAAUUCUGAGGCUGGCCAUAUGGCUGGACAUACCUAGCUCAACUUUGUUAUUGAGUGACUGACCCAGUCCAGUGGCAAGGGUGUUGCACUUCAUGGUCAGUUGAGCAUCUUUAUACUUGAGCUCUGCCACAUGCUUAAAAGACUCCUCCUGGGCAAUUAUUUUGGACAGCAUAUUCAACUCCGAGUUUGCAUAAACUCCAUUGAUCAUAUUGUGAACAUCAAAGAAGGUUGAGUUUAGAUGCAGGGUUGACUCUCCUCUCCCUUUUCCAACUAUUGGACGAAGGUUGUAGCUGUGGGCGUAGCUGGUAUCAGCAUAGAAUGAACCUAUUUUAAGUGAUCCAUCCAUGGUGCCAUCUCCUGAGACUUUAUCUAAAUCUAGAGAUGAUGCUGACUGAGCAGAGUAGUAGAGGGAGGCUUGCAGGCCCAAUGGACUAGAGGCUUUUAUAUGAUAGUUUGCUUUUGCAUUCAAUCUGUUGGUUACUCCUAUUGUUUCUAUUACACUGAAGUUCGUGUCAAUCAAUCUAUGGUUGAAGAAACUAUUCAGAAGAUACUUGAUAUUACCAUCAGCACUUCUUGAUAUCAUACCGGUUCCUUAAAAAAAAGACAAACAAAAAAGAUCAGUAUAGUUUUCCUUGUAAGAAAGUUCCCAUGAAUAUGAACAUGCUUUCACUUAAAAGAACCAAUAAGAUUGUAUUCCAAGAUGAGAUCUUAUCAGAAAUAAGCUAAGUUUCCCAACAACAUUUAAACAAGUAUUAUAACCAUCAGUAACUAAAUGCCUUCAUGCCACUUUCUUACUUUAAUCUAACAAAAGCUUGCAACAUCUUUCAUUAACUGUCAGAAAUGACCAUUCGAAGAGGGUGUUUACCUUCAAGCUUGUAUGCCAGUAGGUUGAACGGUGAUUGGGCCAUAGCCUUGUACUGUGUAAUGUAACUCGGGACAUCAACAGUGUUGUUCCCCCCAGAGAUGGAGCCUUCCCAGCUGUAGACAUUGCUGUUGAUCUUGGUGGAUGCUUCAGCAAGACCGAGAAAGGGAACAGUAAAAUCCAAAGAAGGUGGGAUGGUGAAUGACGGUAGUGAAUAGUUUUUGGCAGGGAUGUAAAGGCCUAUAUCUGGUAAAUAUAUGAGAGGAGUGGACAGAGUUGUUGGGAUGUUCAGAUCCUGCGACUUUGUUCCUCCGUGUGGAAGGGGAAGUGAGAUAACCAUCCUAUCCUUGUUGAACUGGUAUCUGAACAAGCUGUUUCUGUUGAGGUAAAAUAAAAUGCAGUCAUUAUUGUUCCAAUUUUUUCUACAAAAGACUAACUAGUACAACUGAACCGUCUAGUCAGGGUUCAUGCCAAGAAAUACCCGAAUGCAAGUAAUAAUCUUACACUGUAUAGUUACUUACGACUGCAGAAAAAGCUUCUCAGGCAUGGCUGCCAGGGUGAUAUCGGACAUGAUCCUCUUAUUCGUCCAGUUCGCAAGAUGGGGGAUGCGUGCUGUCAAUUUUUCUAGCCAUAUAUCACCUGCCUUCAGGGUGACAUGGUAAAAUACAUUUUAAUCACAUCCAUAUCUUUAUGGUGUGGAGUACUCAAGAAAAAUAAAUAAAUAAAUAAACAAAACAAAUAAAAACAAAUAGAAAUAUGAUAUCCCUGGUUUCACAAGUGUUGACGUUUGAUAUCAUUCUUCCACUAUCCACAUCAACAAAUAGUAAGAGUGUAAUAUACCCAUGGGCAAGGUUUCAUUAAAAAAAGGCCAUAACUGAAUGUCCAAUUGAAAAUGACUUAAAAUGAAAUUUCAGAGUGCUACCUCAAUUCCUUUCAUGACUAUAUGACGCAGUUUCAUAUCAGUUUUUGCCACUUUCUUCUCAAGGAUAUGAUCAAUGAUCUGUUGCAGCCCGUGAUAAUCGUUGAUAUUUAUGAUCAGUUUCUGAAUCUCUGAAUUCAGAUUUGACUUCAGCUCCACUUCAAUCUUGUCAACAUCUGUAGUGGGAAAAUCCAUCAUAUUUGAAGGAAGCUUUCUGUUGGUAGGAUGUCACAGGAAGGUUCAUGACCGUCUCCAAGUCCACGACUAUAUCCUCAUCCCUCUUCAGGGUCGCAGUGACAGAGGCUUCAGUUUUCAAAAACGGUAUUAGCAACUGGAGUUGCAGCAUGGCGCCCUUCAUUAUGUCAAGCCUACAUUUAUAGUUGUACAGGAG